rnacentral:rRNA from 1 species
UACGUAGGGUGCGAGCGUUAAUCGGAAUUACUGGGCGUAAAGCGUGCGCAGGCGGUUUUGCAAGCCGGAUGUGAAAUCCCCGGGCUCACCUGGGAAUGGCAUUCGGGACUGCAAGGCUGGAGUGCGGCAGAGGAGACUGGAAUUCCUGGUGUAGCAGUGAAAUGCGUAGAUAUCAGGAGGAAUACCGAUGGCGAAGGCAGGUCUCUGGGCUGACACUGACGCUCAUGCACGAAAGCGUGGGAGCAACAGG